CAAGUAGGGCAGAUAAUCGCGCCUGCAAGCGCCGAAAGGCCGCAGGCGAGGAAAGUCCGGGCUUCACAGGGCAGGAUGCCGGUUAACGGCCGGUGGAGGCGACUCCAAGGAAAGUGCAACAGAAAUGUACCGCUAUUAGGAAUAAUAGUAAGGGUGGAAGGGCAGUGUAAGGGACUACCGCCCGGCUGGCAACAGCCGGGGCAUAUGUAAACCCCAUCCGAAGCAAGGCCGAACAAAAGCGUUGACGUGGCCCGCCAGCUUUAGGUAGGCCGCUGGAUUUAGCUGGCGACAGCUAAACUAGACAGAUGAUUAUCCAAGACAUAACCCGGCUUACAGCCCUGCUUGGUUC
rfam:Lachnospiraceae bacterium A2 genomic scaffold acPFL-supercont1.3, whole genome shotgun sequence.